rnacentral:rRNA from 1 species
GAUGAACGCUGGCGGCGCGCCUAAUGCAUGCAAGUCGAGCGACGCAUGCCGGAGGGGUAACCCACUGGUAUGACGGAGCGGCGAACGGGUGAGUAACACGUGAGCAACCUGCCCCACAGACCGGGAUAGCCCAGGGAAACCUGGAUUAAUACCGGAUACCCUCGUAGGACCACAUGGUCCAUCGAGGAAAGGCCUUUGUGCUGUGGGAUGGGCUCGCGGCUUAUCAGCUAGUUGGUGGGGUAAAGGCCUACCAAGGCAUCGACGAGUAGCUGGUCUGAGAGGACGAUCAGCCACACUGGAACUGAGACACGGUCCAGACUCCUACGGGAGGCAGCAGCAGGGAAUCUUGCGCAAUGGGCGAAAGCCUGACGCAGCGACGCCGCGUGGGGGAUGAAGGCCUUUCGGGUUUGUAAA